GGUUAAGCGACUAAGCGUACACGGUGGAUGCCCUGGCAGUCAGAGGCGAUGAAGGACGUGCUAAUCUGCGAAAAGCGCCGGCGAGGUGAUAUGAACCUUUGACCCGGCGAUGUCCGAAUGGGGAAACCCAGUGCAAUUCGUUGCACUAUCGUUAAUUGAAUACAUAGGUUAACGAGGCGAACCGGGGGAACUGAAACAUCUAAGUACCCCGAGGAAAAGAAAUCAACCGAGAUUCCCCCAGUAGCGGCGAGCGAACGGGGAGCAGCCCAGAGUCUGAAUCAGCUUGUGUGUUAGUGGAAGCGUCUGGAAAGUCGCACGGUACAGGGUGACAGUCCCGUACACGAAAGCACACAGGCUGUGAACUCGAAGAGUAGGGCGGGACACGUGGUAUCCUGUCUGAAUAUGGGGGGACCAUCCUCCAAGGCUAAAUACUCCUGACUGACCGAUAGUGAACCAGUACCGUGAGGGAAAGGCGAAAAGAACCCCGGCGAGGGGAGUGAAAAAGAACCUGAAACCGUGUACGUACAAGCAGUGGGAGCACCUUCGUGGUGUGACUGCGUACCUUUUGUAUAAUGGGUCAGCGACUUAUAUUCUGUAGCAAGGUUAACCGUAUAGGGGAGCCGAAGGGAAACCGAGUCUUAACUGGGCGUUAAGUUGCAGGGUAUAGACCCGAAACCCGGUGAUCUAGCCAUGGGCAGGUUGAAGGUUGGGUAACACUAACUGGAGGACCGAACCGACUAAUGUUGAAAAAUUAGCGGAUGACUUGUGGCUGGGGGUGAAAGGCCAAUCAAACCGGGAGAUAGCUGGUUCUCCCCGAAAGCUAUUUAGGUAGCGCCUCGUGAACUCAUCUUCGGGGGUAGAGCACUGUUUCGGCUAGGGGGCCAUCCCGGCUUACCAACCCGAUGCAAACUACGAAUACCGAAGAAUGUUAUCACGGGAGACACACGGCGGGUGCUAACGUCCGUCGUGAAGAGGGAAACAACCCAGACCGCCAGCUAAGGUCCCAAAGUCAUGGUUAAGUGGGAAACGAUGUGGGAAGGCACAGACAGCCAGGAUGUUGGCUUAGAAGCAGCCAUCAUUUAAAGAAAGCGUAAUAGCUCACUGGUCGAGUCGGCCUGCGCGGAAGAUGUAACGGGGCUAAACCAUGCACCGAAGCUGCGGCAGCGACGCUUAUGCGUUGUUGGGUAGGGGAGCGUUCUGUAAGCCGUUGAAGGUGUGCUGUGAGGCAUGCUGGAGGUAUCAGAAGUGCGAAUGCUGACAUAAGUAACGAUAAAGCGGGUGAAAAGCCCGCUCGCCGGAAGACCAAGGGUUCCUGUCCAACGUUAAUCGGGGCAGGGUGAGUCGACCCCUAAGGCGAGGCCGAAAGGCGUAGUCGAUGGGAAACAGGUUAAUAUUCCUGUACUUGGUGUUACUGCGAAGGGGGGACGGAGAAGGCUAUGUUAGCCGGGCGACGGUUGUCCCGGUUUAAGCAUGUAGGCGGAGGUUCCAGGUAAAUCCGGUACCUUUUAACGCUGAGGUGUGAUGACGAGGCACUACGGUGCUGAAGUAACAAAUGCCCUGCUUCCAGGAAAAGCCUCUAAGCAUCAGGUAACAUCAAAUCGUACCCCAAACCGACACAGGUGGUCAGGUAGAGAAUACCAAGGCGCUUGAGAGAACUCGGGUGAAGGAACUAGGCAAAAUGGUGCCGUAACUUCGGGAGAAGGCACGCUGAUAUGUAGGUGAAGCCCCUGCGGGUGGAGCUGAAAUCAGUCGAAGAUACCAGCUGGCUGCAACUGUUUAUUAAAAACACAGCACUGUGCAAACACGAAAGUGGACGUAUACGGUGUGACGCCUGCCCGGUGCCGGAAGGUUAAUUGAUGGGGUUAGCGGCAACGCGAAGCUCUUGAUCGAAGCCCCGGUAAACGGCGGCCGUAACUAUAACGGUCCUAAGGUAGCGAAAUUCCUUGUCGGGUAAGUUCCGACCUGCACGAAUGGCGUAAUGAUGGCCAGGCUGUCUCCACCCGAGACUCAGUGAAAUUGAACUCGCUGUGAAGAUGCAGUGUACCCGCGGCAAGACGGAAAGACCCCGUGAACCUUUACUAUAGCUUGACACUGAACACUGGUCCUUGAUGUGUAGGAUAGGUGGGAGGCUUUGAAGCGUGGACGCCAGUCUGCGUGGAGCCAACCUUGAAAUACCACCCUUUAAUGGCUGGUGUUCUAACGUAGACCCGUAAUCCGGGUUGCGGACAGUGUCUGGUGGGUAGUUUGACUGGGGCGGUCUCCUCCCAAAGAGUAACGGAGGAGCACGAAGGUUAGCUAAUCCUGGUCGGACAUCAGGAGGUUAGUGCAAUGGCAUAAGCUAGCUUGACUGCGAGAGUGACGGCUCGAGCAGGUGCGAAAGCAGGUCAUAGUGAUCCGGUGGUUCUGAAUGGAAGGGCCAUCGCUCAACGGAUAAAAGGUACUCCGGGGAUAACAGGCUGAUACCGCCCAAGAGUUCAUAUCGACGGCGGUGUUUGGCACCUCGAUGUCGGCUCAUCACAUCCUGGGGCUGAAGUAGGUCCCAAGGGUAUGGCUGUUCGCCAUUUAAAGUGGUACGCGAGCUGGGUUUAGAACGUCGUGAGACAGUUCGGUCCCUAUCUGCCGUGGGCGCUGGAGAAUUGAGGGGGGCUGCUCCUAGUACGAGAGGACCGGAGUGGACGCAUCACUGGUGUUCGGGUUGUCAUGCCAAUGGCACUGCCCGGUAGCUAAAUGCGGAAAAGAUAAGUGCUGAAAGCAUCUAAGCACGAAACUUGCCCCGAGAUGAGUUCUCCCUGACCCUUUAAGGGUCCUGAAGGAACGUUGAAGACUACGACGUUGAUAGGUCGGGUGUGUAAGCGCAGCGAUGCGUUGAGCUAACCGAUACUAAUGAACCGUGAGGCUUAACCUU
rnacentral:rRNA from 1 species